CGAGAGCAACCCGCGCGCGGCCCAGUGUAGUGUACCGGUACAGCUUGAUGGCUGUACCGGUACAGCAAGCAGAAAAAACUGCAGUUUGCAGAUUUUCUUCGCUGAAAGUUGCCCUCGCGUCGCACGGAGCCCGUUUUGCGUCUAUUUGACGCCAACGCGACUCGGACUUGUCCCGACACUCUCCAGAGCUGUCGACAAGCCUCCACAGUCAAACACCAGGGAUCUCACAAA
rnacentral:lncRNA from 1 species